CAUAAGAUUAUUUUUCAGUAUUUUUAUACAAUAUUUUGACUCUUCGUCUUAUUUGAAAUUUUUUUACGAUUAAUAUUUUUAUUCUUACUAGAUGAUAAAGCAUGAAUAGUAAUUUAUGUGUGACUAUUUUUUUAAGUUUUUGUAUAAAUCUUUCAAAUAAGACGAAUGAUCAUACGUUGGACAUGGAAAAAC
rnacentral:pre_miRNA from 1 species